rnacentral:rRNA from 1 species
GACGAACGCUGGCGGCGUGCCUAAUACAUGCAAGUCGAGCGGACUUGAUGGACCUAGCUCCUGAUAGUCCGCGGCGGACGGGUGAGUAACACGUGGGCAACCUGCCUGUAAGACUGGGAUAACUUCGGGAAACCGGAGCUAAUACCGGAUACGUUCUUUUCUCGCAUGAGAGAAGAUGGAAAGACGGUUUCGGCUGUCACUUACAGAUGGGCCCGCGGCGCAUUAGCUAGUUGGUGGGGUAAUGGCUCACCAAGGCGACGAUGCGUAGCCGACCUGAGAGGGUGAUCGGCCACACUGGGACUGAGACACGGCCCAGACUCCUACGGGAGGCAGCAGUAGGGAAUCUUCCGCAAGGGACGAAAGUCGGACGGAGCAACGCCGCGUGAGUGAAGAAGGUUUUCGGAUCGUAAAACUCUGUUGUCAGGGAAGAACAAGUACCAUAGUAACUGAUGGUACCUUGACGGUACCUGACCAGAAAGCCACGGCUAACUACGUGCCAGCCGCCGCCGUAAUAC